UGGGGAAUCUUGGACAAUGGGCGCAAGCCUGAUCCAGCCAUGCCGCGUGAGCGAUGAAGGCCUUAGGGUUGUAAAGCUCUUUCGCCUGUGAAGAUAAUGACGGUAGCAGGUAAAGAAACCCCGGCUAACUCCGUGCCAGCAGCCGCGGUAAUACGGAGGGGGUUAGCGUUGUUCGGAAUUACUGGGCGUAAAGCGCACGUAGGCGGACCAGAAAGUUGGGGGUGAAAUCCCGGGGGCUCAACCCCGGAACUGCCUCCAAAACUAUUGGUCUAGAGUUCGAGAGAGGUGAGUGGAAUUCCAAGUGUAGAGGUGAAAUUCGUAGAUAUUUGGAGGAACACCAGUGGCGAAGGCGGCUCACUGGCUCGAUACUGACGCUGAGGUGCGAAAGUGUGGGGAGCAAAACAGGAUUAGAUACCCCUGGUAGUCCACACCGUAAAACGAUGAAUGCCAGUCGUCGGGUAGCAUGCUAUUCGGUGACACACCUAACGGAUUAAGCAUUCCGCCUGGGGAGUACGGUCGCAAGAUUAAAA
rnacentral:rRNA from 1 species